GGGCGAAGCCUGAUCCAGCCAUGCCGCGGUGCAGGUAUGAAGGCCUUCGGGUUGUAAACUGCUUUUGUACGGAACGAAAAGCCUCUUUCUAAUAAAGAGGGGUCAUGACGGUUACCGUAAGAAUAAGCACCGGCUAACUACGUGCCAGCAGCCGCGGCUAAUACGUAGGGUGCAAGCGUUACUCGGAACUCCUACUGGGCGUAAAGCGUGCGUCCCCGG
rnacentral:rRNA from 1 species